ensembl:lncRNA
UUGAGUAGGGUUUUAGGUCCUGAUCCUGAAGUGCUUAGGCCUGAGGUCAGCUUUCUACUUGUGCAUGGUUCCACUGAGUUGACUGGACUUAUCCUCCUGAAAAAAAUGACUCAAAUUGUUUGCUACGUCACAGUUACAGACUGGGGCAGAAAGAAAACUGAAAGCCCCUCAAAAUUUCUGUGAAGACUUAUUCAAUGAGAAAACGUUUAAGAAAAUACUGAAAAUAGUGUUAAUUCAGUAACAGAAUUUGAAGUCAUUGUGCAUUGCUAACCAGGUACGUUGUUCUAUUUAGAAUCUUCCUCCAUCUCCUUCAUGCUGUGUCUUUAUAUCCUGGUUUGUCAUCAGACAUGCAAGUGUAUGUAAAUAAUUCACUGCUAUUACAGACUGUUCCACGUAGCAAAACUUGUGCCCUAGCUUGCCUAUUCUUGGGGAACAGAACAUAAAUAGUAGAGUGGUUUCUGAAUAGGCCCUGCUGGAGGCAACAGCCAUUCCAGCGGUGAUGUGGGCCAAGUUAUUUUUGCAAUGGCAGUUGUUUUAGAGAUAAUGAAAAUACGAGGUUCUCUGAGAAGCAUGGCUGGCUGUAUGUUUUCUCCAAUUUGCAUGGCAGGUUGCUGCCCAACAAAAGGAUCUGCCACUGGAUUUUCUUAACCCAUGUAGAAAGCUUUGAUUAAAGAGUUGAGAAGCUCUGUGGUUAUAAUAAACAGGAAACCUCGAUUCUGCUGCUGAUACACGGAAAAGCUUCCAGCUGAUCACAAGCACUACUUCUUACAGAAUAUAAGCCAUAGGAAAAGGAAGUAAAGCAAUCAUGAAAGACGUAAGCGUGGUGCUCUUCCAGGCUUACCAAUAUGCAUGUGUUUAAUUUGAAUGUCAUAAGAGCAAAUUUUUUAACUGUUUGCUAGAAUUCCUUCCCAAUGGGCAUAUUUGGUUGGGUCUGGUAAAAGAAUUGUUACUGAUUUUUAAUUUAUUUUAAAUACUUACAAGGAGUUCUGCCUGUCGGAAUGCUUGUUUGAUAAAUAUUGGUUUGACUUCCUUGAGCUGCGUAGAAGAAUUAUACAUGCGUAAGCUGAAUAGCUGGCUGUCUGGGAAUUGGUAAGAGGUAUAGUUUUCAGUCUGGAGUAAUAGUACCAUGGGAUUCCUCUAUCUCAUACGGGCAUGUUAGUCACUAGAAAGAAUUCCCUCAUCUAAUUUAUUUGAAAUAAUAUUGCUUAAGCCCAGGACGCUUGCAGAGUAAUCCCAAGCUGAAAUUCUAGGCCUAUAAACAUACCGUUUCAACCCCUCACCUUUCAAAAUGAAUGUUAACAACUGUAUUAAUGUUGUAAGUCUUCUCGGAGGAAGUUUCUUUUUUUCCUGUAUGGCACUUCAAAUUCCUGCCUCAGUGGUUUUUGUUUCUUCAGUACUGGAGAAUGAGAAGUAAACUUGUUUGGACUGGGGGAAGAGAUGCAGCAAGUGUAUCAGAAAGUGCAAGCCCAGCAGGAUGGCUGAGUCCUGGAGAGUGAAAACCUGCAGAAAAUUCAUCUAAUGCCUCUCCCAGAAAGAACUGGGGCUUUUUUUAGCAUCAAUGCUGUAUGUGCUCUGAAACAGCAGUACAUCUGCUGAUUUCCUUAUCUGUAAGUAUCAAUAAUGGAAAGUGUUGGAAUGUCAAAAGAUUUUAGUUAUUUUACAACUCUUCUAUGGAAAUGUUCUACUGAAGAGCAUUUGCUCACAUAGAUGACAUGUAGCUGUAUGCAUGCAUGUGGGUUUCAAACACGUGCUAUGAACUUAACAAACGGAAGGAAAGGGUAUCAUAUGUCUUCACAAAAAGUGAGUAGGAAUUCUCUUCCACCUCACCCCCUUAACAAUCUGUUGCUGUUAAAGGGGGCUUUGUAGGAUAAGUAGGCAUAAGAGGAUAAAAUAAUAUAAUUUGCAUUCAUUCUCGAGGUUGUUUACCUACUGUAGUGCAGAAGUGGUUCAGUCUUGAGCCUUGGUAAGUUUGGAUUUGGACAUGCAGAUUCCAUGCAUUCCUGAAGUGGUUUUGAGAGAGAGGGAAAAAAAAAAAAAAGAAAAAA